GCGGCGUGCUUAACACAUGCAAGUCGAACGAACCUUCGGGUUAGUGGCGGACGGGUGAGUAACGCGUGGGAAUCUGCCCUCAGGAGGGGGAUAACGGUUGGAAACGACCGCUAAUACCCCAUAUGCCGAGAGGUGAAAUGAAUUUCGCCUGAGGAUGAGCCCGCGUCUGAUUAGCUUGUUGGUGAGGUAAUGGCUCACCAAGGCAUCGAUCAGUAGCUGGUCUGAGAGGAUGAUCAGCCACACUGGGACUGAGACACGGCCCAGACUCCUACGGGAGGCAGCAGUGGGGAAUUUUCCGCAAUGGGCGAAAGCCUGACGGAGCAACGCCGCGUGAGGGACGAAGGCCUCUGGGCUGUAAACCUCUUUUCUCAAGGAAGAAGAUAUGACGGUACUUGAGGAAUAAGCCACGGCUAAUUCCGUGCCAGCAGCCGCGGUAAUACGGGAGUGGCAAGCGUUAUCCGGAAUUAUUGGGCGUAAAGCGUCCGCAGGCGGCCUUUCAAGUCUGCUGUUAAAGCGUGGAGCUUAACUCCAUCAUGGCAGUGGAAACUGAUUGGCUUGAGUAUGGUAGGGGCAGAGGGAAUUCCCGGUGUAGCGGUGAAAUGCGUAGAUAUCGGGAAGAACACCAGUGGCGAAGGCGCUCUGCUGGGCCAUUACUGACGCUCAUGGACGAAAGCCAGGGGAGCGAAAGGGAUUAGAUACCCCUGUAGUCCUGGCCGUAAACGAUGAACACUAGGUGUCGGGGGAAUCGACCCCUUCGGUGUCGUANCUAACGCGUUAAGUGUUCCGCCUGGGG
rnacentral:rRNA from 1 species